rnacentral:misc_RNA from 1 species
AAAGUCGUAACAAGGUUUCCGUAGGUGAACCUGCGGAAGGAUCAUUAAAAAUACAGGAUGUAUCAUUCCUUAACCCACUCUGAGUACUUGUACUUGUUGCUUCCGUGGGCAGCGAGCAAUAUGCUUGUAUCUGCUCAUGUGGUGGAUCCACGGAAGGUAUCAAUCUACUCCACAUUUCUGUGAAAUCAGUCUGAAUAUGUUUAUUCUAUAAACUUCUUAAAACUUUCAACAACGGAUCUCUUGGUUCUC